rnacentral:rRNA from 1 species
CAACCUGCCCUAAAGUGGGGGACAACAGCCUGAAAGGGCUGCUAAUACCGCAUGUGGUCAUUGUUCUGCAUGGGACGAUGUCUAAAGCAAUACUUGUAUUGCGCUUUUGGAUGGGCUUGCGGCCUAUCAGAUAGUUGGUGGGGUAAUGGCCUACCAAGUCGUUGACGGGUAGCUGGUCCGAGAGGACGAUCAGCCGGAUUGGGACUGAGAUACGGCCCAG